UGAGGAAUAUUGGUCAAUGGGCGCGAGCCUGAACCAGCCAAGUCGCGUGAGGGAUGACGGCCCUACGGGUUGUAAACCUCUUUUGUCGGGGGAGCAAAUUCCGUUACGUGUAACGGAGUCGAGAGUACCCGAAGAAAAAGCAUCGGCUAACUCCGUGCC
rnacentral:rRNA from 1 species